rfam:Leptolyngbya sp. PCC 7376, complete genome.
GGGGCUAUAACUCAGCUGGUAGAGUGCCACAAUGGCAUUGUGGAAGUCAGCGGUUCGAAUCCGCUUAGCUCCA